GCACCCGCGGUAAUUCCAGCACCAAUAGCGUAUAUUAAUGCUGCUGCUGUUAAAAAGCUCGUAGUUGGAUCAAGAGUUGGACAGUGCACGGUGGCCCCAUUUGGUAUCGUGGUUCCGAUCACGGUGCCGGUGGCGGAUCAACCCCGUGCGCCAAACUGUCCACUCUAACAGACCGAAACGGUUCCCUGUGAGUAGGUUCCUUCAUUGGGACUGAAAGCGCUUACGCAUCAACCAUAUGCAUACGGGACGUCGGUCAAAGUUACUGUGAACAAACCAGCGUGUCCAAAACAGGCUUUCGCCUGAAUGUUCGAGCAUGGAAUAACAAGGGAUCGAUUCUCUCGGUUCUUUCUGUUGGUUUUUAACCCGAGAAGGAGUAAUUCAGGCCACGGUGUCUGAGUUGGGUUUCCCUUCACCUCGGUGGAGGCCCCAAUUAGGCCGUGUCCUUACGGGAUCAAUAGGGACUGACGGGGUCGUACGUACUUCCACGUCAGAGGUGAAAUUCUUAGAUCGUGGGAAGACGAACUUCUGCGAAAGCAUUCGACAAGAAUGUCUUCAUUAAUCAAGAACGAGAGUGUGGGGAUCGAAGAUGAUCAGAUACCGUCGUAGUCCACUACUGUAAACAAUGCCGUCUCAGGAUUGAGAAGUGAACAGAAUGACUUUCACAGCACUAACCCCUGAAACGAGAAAUCAAAGAUUAUGGGUUCAGGGGGGAGUACAUUCGCAAGGCUGAAACUUAAAGGAAUUGACGGAAUGACACCACAAGGCGUGGAGUAUGCGGCUUAAUUUGACUCAACACGGGGAAUUUUACUAGGUCAGGACAAUGUAAGGAUUGACAGAUUGAGAGCUCUUUCUCGAUCCAUUGUGUGGUGGUGCAUGGCCGCUCCUGGUUGGUGGAGUGAUUUGUCUGGUUGAUUCCGUUAACGAACGAGAUCUCGACCCUUAAAUAGGUGCCCAUGUCGAUUGUAGUUUCGCUUCUGCCCGCUUGCGGGAUUUGAGCGGGACGAGACUGUGGGAAUACUUCUUAAGGGGACUGUGUGCGUCUCUAGCACGCGGAAGAGCGAGCCAAUAGCAGGCCUGUGAUGCUCCUAAAUGUCCUAGGCUGCACGCGCACUACACUGAUGCAAUAAACGAGUCUGAGUGCCUUCUGGCAACCUACCUUGAAGAGGGUGGGAAAUCUUUUGAACUUGCAUCGUGAUGAG
rnacentral:rRNA from 1 species